UUUUUUAAUUUUAAUUUUUUUAAUUUUAAUGUUUUUAAUUUUAAUUUAUUUAAUUUUAAUUUUUUUUAAUUACUCUAAUUUUUUUAAUUAUAAUUUUUUUUUAAUUUUUCUAAUUUUUUUUAAUUUGAAAAAUUUUUUAAUUUUAAUUUUUUUAUUUAAUUUUUCGUUUUAUUAUUAUGUUAUAACUUUAUUUUUUUAACAAUAAAACACAGUCCUGGUGACUGUAAAUCCAAUGCGAAGCAACUGCGUACACCGAUCUGUAUAGGAAUGCAUGCGCCACGCACACAAUAACAACAAAAACAAGUCACAUAAGCAAAAUCGUAAAACAUUGUAGGACAGAGAAGACAAGCACUUAUUGCGAGGACACGUAGUAGAAUAUAAAAAAUAAGCCAUUACACUGAAACAAAAGAAAUACGCCUAGUAAUAGGGUGGCGCAUGCGCAAUUGUAAAAGGGAAUAUUGAAAAAAACAAAAAAAAAAUAUUUAUAAAAUAAAUUAUUGAAUCUAGCAACUUUUAUGCAUAGCUUUAGGUGGUUUAAAGGCAGUCAAAUAAUUAAAUAUAUGUAUGUAUUUAAUAGCUGAGGCGAAUUUAAGAGAGCGAGACGGCAGCAAGUAAACACUUUUACCAAUUAUUACUUAUAUACUAUAUUAUAUGUAUAUGUAUGUAUGUAGUUGUAGUUGAAAAACUAAAAAAAAAACACAUUCAACACAAGACAAGACACUGAACAGCACAAACAGACACACAUACACACACAAAAAAGUGAAACUGCAAAAACAUAAAAAACAGACUAGAAAUAUUAUAGCGUGUCAAUUGUAUGCCAAGCCAAAAGAUAAAACCAAAAAAUUUUAAAUAAAAUGAAACAAAAACACUUAAUAAACUCAAAGUAUGCAGAAAAUACACACAAAAAUACAACAAAUACUACAAAUACAACAACAACACUGAGGAAACAUGCAAAACACAACAAUAAACACUUGGAAAGCGCCUAUACACCGAUACUGCGUGCUACACAACAAAAACACCAUGAUACAACAACAACAAAAACAACGACACAUAAGCACACACCCACACACACACAUGCGCAACUGUUGCUGUUAUAUUCGUAUCGACAAAACUCUUUUACUAUACUUUUACGCAUUACACUUGCACAUGCAGACUAAAUCAAAUCACACACGGGAACAUCACAUGAACAACUACAUAGGAGCAACACGCCGCACAACAACAACAACAAACAUAAAAAAUGUAUUUUAGCAUACAAACACCAUUACACACGUGCUAACAGCAGCAACUACAAAAAAUGCAGGCGCAUGCGAGUGCAAGCAAAAUAUCACAUGAUAAUCAUGUGAUCCAUUAACAGCAAUUUGUACAGCGCCAACGAUUUGUGAACGCUAUCAUGAACAAAACACGUCAACACAGUGAAAAACACAUACUGAGUAACAAAUAUACUUGCUACAUAAACAACAACAACAUACACGAUUAUAUGUAUAUUGAAACAUCACAACAUCACAACAUCACAUCGCACAUGUUUAUAAACACAAUAAUAUCCUACUAUUGCAUAUAUGAACUGCCGAUAGUACGGAGGUUCAAAUGGCAUAAUCGUAACUAACUGGUGAUAAUUGCUUCAAAUGCAUUGAAAGAAUUCAAUUCGUGUUUUAUUGAUAAAUAUACAUAUAUUUAUUAUAUGUAUGUACAAUUAUUUGUGGUGAAUUUGCAACUCUUUGAGAAUUUAAGCUGGUAGUAAAACAAAAAACUAAUUUUUGCAGUUUUGUUGAACUUUUAUUAUAAUUUGGUUAUUAGCAGCUAGCAACAUGUUGCUAAAGCGCUACGAAAAAAUUUUUUAGCAAUAUAUGAAAUAAUAAAUAAUCAGAAAAACAGUUCACUUUAAACUAUUUUCAAUUUUUGGUAACCUGCAACAUGUUGCGGAAAAAAUAUUGCGCAAUAUUUUGCUGCGAAAAUUAAUAUUUAUUGUUCACUCUUUCAAUAAAUGUCAAAAAUUAUAUAAUUCUUAAAGAAAAAUACAUAACAGCAUAUCGUUGAAAUAUAUUGUGCAAUAUUUCAAUGACACAUUUCGGCAUUUUCCUCACUACAGGCUGAAGAUCCAUUCCGAGCAUAUAUUUAAAUAAUUAAUAUGUAUGAACCAAUGAUAGAUAUUUUUAUAUUGAAGUAGUCGCUGACAUAUUGCGCAAUAUUUUAAACUUUCAAUAUUUCACUACUACUCUUGCAUGUUUUUUUGACAAAUAUUGUCAAGUCGCAUUCUUUUUGAAAUUGCAAUAUAUUAAUACUGGCUAUCAACAAUGUUGAUAAACAAAUUCGGCAAAUUUACAAACUUUUUACACUUUCUUUAGUGUGUACAAUCAACAGAGGAAAUAAUAUAGACAUGUUGGCAAUCAAAUUUUCUUCAACAACAUUUGUGUUAUCAUUAAUUUUUCAACUCAAACUGAUGGUCAUUGGUAGUCACAACUAAAUUUUACAUUUUAUCAAAUGUUGAUGACGUGUUGCCAAUGUAUUACAAAUGUUGCUAAACAUCUAUUUAUAGAAAUUUGACUAUAUGUAUCACUUUACUGAGUUCAAACACCAUUAUUCAACUUCUCUGUCAUUCUUCAGCAACAAAAAUGUUGCGAACAUGUUGCUGUGUAUAUAGUUUCUUUAAAACGCUUGGUUUCUUACUGUUUUCACAGUUAGCCAAGUGUUGUAACUUGCGCAAUAUCAUUAUUUGUCAUUCUUCAGCAACAAAAAUGUUGCGAACAUGUUGCUGGAUGCAUAGUUUCUUUAAAACGCUUGGUUUCUUACUGUUUUCACAGUUAGCCAAGUGUUGUAACUUGCGCAAUAUCAUUAUUUGUCAUUCUUCAGCAACAAAAAUGUUGCGGAACAUGUUGCUGGGUGUAUAGUUUCUUCAAAAUGCUUGACUUUUGGUUGUUUUUAAGUAGUAAGCUAUUUUUUGUGUAUAUUUAAAUAUUUUAAAAUUGUACAGAAUUAAUUAAAAAUUCCAAAAUGUUGCGCAACAUGUUGCUGUGUGCAUAGUUUUCUUAAAACGCUUGAUUUCAGGCUGUUUUUGAGCUGUAAAGUAUUUUUUGUGUUUAUUUAAAUAUUUUAAAAUUUUACAUAGUUAAUUAAAAAAUCCAAAAUGUUGCGCAACAUGUUGCUGGGUGCAUAGUUUCCUUAAAACGCCUGAUUUCAGACUGUUUUUGAGCUGUAAAAUAUUUUUUGUGUUUUUUUUUAUAUUGUAAAAUUUCACAUAGUUAAUUAAAAAAUCCAAAAUGUUGCGCAACAUGUUUCUGGGUGCAUAGAUUCUUUAAAAUGCUUGAUUUUUUCUUGUUUUUGUACUGUAGGAUAUUUUUAAUAUUUAUCUAAAUAUUUUAAUUUUUUUCAUGUGAUUUUUGUAAUUUUUCAAGAGUUGCAAGAUUUUUAAUGAUACAAUAUAAUUUUUGUUAACAAAAUAUUUAAAAUUUUAAACAUUAAAGCUAUUAAAUAUACAACAACACAAACACUUUUGUAAAUUGCAUACUGAAAAUAUUUAUUUAAAUACAUACAUACACAAUUGCAUACUUAUGUACUUAUAAAUUUGAAUACAUGCAUACAUACAUACUCAUACACUUAUAUACUUACAUAAUUAUUAUUUUAAACACACACUUACAUAUAAACAUGCUUACAUUACUAACACUAUAACAUAAUUAAACACAUUUAUAUACUUGCAUACUUACAUACAUACUUAUAUACUUACAUAAACACAUUUAUAAACUCACAUACAUACAUAAACACAUAAAUACAUACAUAGUUUAGUGAGUAAGAUCAGCGUAGUGAAAGAAAAAAUUCCCAAAAAAUACAUGGUAUUCGGUACAUACACCAAUACAAUACAUACAUAUGUAGGUAUAUACAAGUAUAACACAUAUUCACAUAACCAUAAUCAUACAAUUAAAAGCAAACAUAUUUAACGAUCUACUAAUACAUAUAUAUAUAUAUAUAUAUACGCAUGCGUAUAUUGUAUACAUACAUAUAUACAUAACAUAAGCUUUCAUAACUGAUUUUCCUAAUUCAAGUAUUCAUAUAUACAUACAUACAAACAUAUAUACAUGUGACUCCUUUUCUCGAGCAAACAUAUACACAGACUGGAGAAAGGUCAAAUUUCAAGGUCAAAGAAGUGAAAAGGUAUUUGAAUGAAUGUUUCAUAAUUCAUAUAUUAUGAUAGCAUAUACAUACAUAAUUAUUAGCAACACAGAGAAAUACACAUAAACAUACAUAGCAUAGCUAAAGAUACAGGCAUAACAGAAAUGCAUACAUACAUACAAACAUUUGUAAAUGCAAUUAAAAAUACAUGUUACACAAGCCAAAUGAAGGCUAGACGUAGCCACUGCAUUGGUAGCGUUGUUGUAAAAGAAAAAAAUUGCAACAACAACAACAGCAAUACAAGUUAAAGCCAGGCUUAGCGGCUAAAUGCAUAAAUGCGUUAUAAAGGAAAAACAACAUAAGCACACAGUUGAAAGAAAAAUUUAAAAACAACAACAAAUACAAGUAUACAGCACUUGACACAAAUAUAGACACACACACACAUACUACACAGUUACACAAAAAAAUAAAUUAAUUAAAAAAAUUAAAUUUGUUAAAAUUAUUAGUGCUAAAUGUUGUAAAGAAUUAGAACACACAAAAGAAUACCGAAAAAAACAACAAAAAAAUUCAUUCAAGCAAAAAGUUAUGCGAAGACCACAUAAAACAGCAACAGAUUGAUAAACCAUAAACGCAAACAAAAACAAAUACAAAUACAAAAAUAAAUAAUAUAUAUAUAUAUAUAUAAAUAAUAUGCAAACAAAAACAACAACAAUAAAAAUAACAAAAUAUACAGCGAAGCUUGCUAAAUGAAACAAACGCCAAGAAAUUGUAGCGCAACAGCAACAAUGCAAACAAAAACAAAACUAAACAAAGAAACCAAAAAAACAACUGCAAAACAAAUACAACAACCAUGCAAGACAUUAACAGCAUAUAUUUGAAAAAAAAAAUUAAUAUUAUUAUUAAAAAAUACUUGAAAAAGUAGUAGCUCACAAUUACAUUUAAGUAAACAAGUAUUGAAAACUUACUUACUGAAAAAAGUAAAAAAAAAAAAACAUGUCAACCGCCAACACACAAUAAUCCCCAAAAACCACAUACCCACUAUACACAUAACCUCAAACGGCAGCAUAACCCCCCAAAACCAGCAAAACACAAAACAGAAAGCGAUUAAACAGCAAAGCCGCAAACAAACAAACACACACACACACAAUACUCGAAUCAUUUAGCAACACUAAACCCAUUCCUAACCCAACCGCCCCCCCUAUUGCGCCUAAAAGUAUGUGUAAUAUGCAUUGAUACAUAAGCAAAGAUAAGCAAAAACUAAACAAAACCAAACAAACAAACAGAAAAUUAUACCCUCAAAGCAUGAGAAUUUGAAAAUCUUGAUCAAUAAA